UAUAAUCGCUGCCGGACAGGUGUCCGGAUUUGCAUGAUCCGGAUGAAACGGGAAGCCGGUACAAGCCGGCGCUGCCCCCGCAACGGUAAGGUCUGGCUGGCGGAUGCCGGCCCAGUUGUCGCCAUUGCCACUGUUGCCCAUCAGCAACGGGAAGGCGUGACAGCGCAAGACCAAGCCCGGAGACCGGCCUGUCCCUUAUCGUCUGC
rnacentral:ncRNA from 1 species